rnacentral:rRNA from 1 species
GCGCAUGGGCGAAAGCCUGACGCAGCGACGCCGCGUGGGGGAUGAAGCAUCUCGGUGUGUAAACCCCUUUCGACUGGGACGAAUGCCUCGCAAGAGGAGUGACGGUACCAGUAGAAGAAGCCCCGGCUAACUACGUGCCAGCAGCCGCGGUAAGACGUAGGGGGCCAGCGUUGUUCGGAAUUACUGGGUGUAAAGGGUUCGUAGGCGGUGUGGCAAGUCGGGAGUGAAAUCUAUGGGCUUAACUCAUAGGCUGCUUCCGAAACUGCUGUGCUGGAGUGUGGGAGAGGCGCGUGGAAUUGCAGGUGUAGCGGUGAAAUGCGUAGAUAUCUGCAGGAACACCCGUGGCGAAAGCGGCGCGCUGGACCACAACUGACGCUGAGGAACGAAAGCUAGGGGAGCAAACAGGAUUAGAUACCCUGGUAGUCCUAGCCCUAAACGAUCAGGACUUGGGGUGCCGCACGUUCGUGCGUCGUCCCGGAGCUAACGCGUUAAGUCCUGCACCUGGGGAGUACGGUCGCAAGACUGAAACUCAAAAGAAUUGACGGA